rnacentral:lncRNA from 1 species
AUUAAAAAGUUGCCCCUUAGCCUGUGGUAUUAUUGGAUGGUGAUAAAGCCUAUGGGAAGCAGAGCCUGUUAAAAUUCAUGUAUGAAGAGUAUUCUCAGAUGAGUUUGGAAUGCCUUUUAAAGAAGAGCAAGCCCCCAGAAGUCUACCAGCUCCUAUUCAAGCCAUGUGAAGACAGGAAACAGCUGCCUGUACCAGUAUUUCCAGAACUAUGUCAAAGAAGAGGCAGGAGAAAAAAAAGUCCUACUAUAGGGUUCAGAGAAAGAAGCAAAAAGCAAUUUGAUAAUUUUUAUUUUAGAGCCUGUGUUGCUUGGGAGCUGUAGACUUCCAGGCGUGAAGACUAAGGGACAUACCAUAAAUCCUUAGGGAGGGAGGCAGAGGUCUAGGGUAUAAAUCCAGUAGUAGAGUGCUACCUUAGCAUGCACAAGACUCUGUGUUCAAUCCCUAGGACCAAAAGGUGGGGAAGGGCUGAGCAAUCCUGGGAAAUAACCUUAAAAGGUUGGCUACUCUUUGUAUACUCUAUAAAUCAAGAUGAUUGUCUAGUUUUGUACAUUUUGCUGAGGUUAUUAAAUUAGCUUUCCAUUCCUGAGCACAAUAUAUAGGAUUGUAUUGGGGCACUGGGGCCCUUGAACUUAGCCCUCUUUCCUGUUGAGAAAGACCCCAUACAAUAAAAUGGCUGAUGGGAAAAGGCAUCAAGGUUUGGGUUAAACAGCCAACAACACGCUCUUCUACCCUGAGACAGAAGUGGAGCCUGUGCCUUCAUCAGGGCAUCAUACCACCUCACUCCACAGACUCAGGAAGCACAAGCACAGUCUGGACUUAAGGGCUUUAGGAUGCAUUUUAUGCAUUCACUCAUUAGCUGAGUGCUUAAAAUCUUUAAUUUCCAUUUCCUCAUGAAGGCUCUGAGGAUUUCAGUUGUCCCAGGAAGCAGGGAUCAUGUCAGCGUUGUUCACUUUAUACUCUUAGUGGCUGAGAGGGUACUGGAUAGAGAAGAGGGCUCCUAAGUUCUUAGGUGAAUGUUGCCAUGGGAUCCAUGACCGGCGGACUCCACCAUCCAAGGAGCUUAAUAUCUUGCCAAUUAGAGACUUGACCUUCAUCUUCCAUUCCCCCAGUGGCUAUCCCAAUCACUGGAUUUUCCCUCCACUUGCUUAAUGUUAGAAACUGUACACCUAUAAGAGAUUCGGCAUCUGCUCCAGUGGAUUCCACACUCUAUUCCCUCUAGCUCUGGCAAAAGCUCUGCAUCAUACUGUAAUACUUGGGAAAACCAUUUGAUAGUCCCUGUGCAGUUGAAGUGGAGAGCAUAUUCACUAGCCAGCACUAAGUCCCCACCAAGCUCCUCCCAACUUCUCAUCCCAUCCCAUCACAUAGACCCAUGGAGAAGGAAGCUCCCCCAGCUGCUAGUAACUUUUAGGCAGCUCCCUUCUUUUCUCUAGAGCUGUGAAACAAUGAUGGCUGGGGAGUCAGGAUCCCUUCUACUAAAUAGUGAAUAGACCACCACACUUGUGAUCUACCCUACCUGUGUGCCCACAUUGUCCGUACUCCCUUAUGCCUGCCAUGUUCUCCAUUCCCUUUGAUGAGAGGCGUUCAUAGCUGACCCUCCUAUCUCCUGGGAAAUGAAACGAAAGCUUGGGGAGAUAGAAAGGAGGGGACUAAAAAUUCCUCCUGUGAGCCCUCAGAGUGGAUUAAGACUCUAAGACCUUGACUAUAGGGGUCAUGUGGAAUGGCUCUAUAGUAAAGAACAACAUGUCAUCUGGACACAGGCUUCCUGGCCCCUACCUCAAUUCUAUUUCUUCUGCUUACUUGAUGUGGCCAUAGGCAAAUGUCUUUGCCAUCCCUUGCUUCAAAGUUCUUCUCCUGACAAUGUCGAUACCCUCUGUAGAAGGUUGUGAAAAUUAAAUGACUUUAAAUAAGCCACUCUCAGAAGAAUGUCAGGCCCAAAGCAAUUACAUAUUUAAUAAUAUUUCUCACUGUAGCAGCAUUGCCAUUGAUCAAAAUAUUUCUAGCCUGUGUUAGAAGAGUAUGCUUUUCAGUCUUAAACAUAUCUUGCCAACUAUCCAUGAACAUCCAUGAAACCAGUUUCCUCCAUUGUUCUAGUUCUUGGGAGCAGGUAAGCAGUUUAGGCCUUCAGUGCACUUCUGAAGCCAACAGCAUGGUGUUGUGUUUAUUUACUGUCCAUGAAAAACACACAUGUUCACACACAUCCAGACAGCUCUGCCACAACCAGGGCCGAUUCAUCCCGGGGUCACUAAUUGGCUCUGCCUCAACCAGAAAGAGACUGAAGUCUUAAUUAUGAAUCCUCUUCCUUUGAUCAGCCCUGAAGGUUUUAAGGAACUGAGUAUGACCAAAGGGCAAAUUUCAGAAAAGUCUGAUUUACAUUUAAAUCCAAGUUCUUUGUUUUCCCCCUCGUCUCCACAAAGUUUGC